UCCCUCGUUAGUUGGUAAAUCACUCGAUAAAUCAAAUUCGACAUUGGCGGCGGCAUUGGCGCUUUGCUGGAUUCCUCUUCGGGCAAGAGGGGCAAGAGGAUCAUGAGCUGCUCUGUAACUGCUUGUGGAUCCAAAAACACACGUAUGAGUAGGUACUAGUUCGUGGUGAUAUUUAUUUACUAGAAUUUACCAACGUAUGAUUUGCCCGUAUUUUUCUUACUUGUGUACUAAAAAAGUGGUCGAUGUUGUUAACAAUGGAGAAAAUGAACCCUGUAAAAAAUUCAACCAGAGAUACAUUUAGCAUUACUAAUAAUUGUGGAAGAAUACUAGAGAAAAAAAAAUGAUUUUGAAGUUCUUGAACUUCAGCUGUGUGGAGCACUAGAUAAAAAAAAGAUACAAAUAAGAAAUAUGACAUUUUUGUGAACCAGAUGUGAAAUAAGAAAUAUGAUUUCCAAAGAUUUCAGCAUGUAGCAUUGCACUUUCGAAAAAAAACGUAGCAUUGCACAAAAAAGCAGAGAGCCUGAUUGGAAUUGGGAUUGGGAGAUGUGAGACAUAAACAGCACCUGAAUCACAACCAUGGACAAAAUGGUAAGUACCACAUUCCAACAUAUUGUUUAGCUUACCUUCUCGCAAUCUUUUAGCAAUUGAUUCAGAUGUUUGUCGACAUGUUGAUUGGCCAAAAUGAUAAAUACGACAUGUUUGAUGCAAUUUUGACCGUCUCACAUUUUUUUUUUUGCUAUUGGUUCAGAUGUAAGUUUUAUAAAAUCAACUGAAAUCAUGGAACUUUAUGCAGUGUAUGAUAAUGCUUGAAAUUACAAAUCGAGUUCCAAAAGGUAUUGAUUCCAAGAUGUUGCAAUGGUACAGUGAGCUGCAAUGCUAUAUUCUUGGCAGGAAAAGGUGGCCAAAUGAUGCACCUGAUGGGCAUUGAGAAGGUACUACAGACUUCAUCAACAAGGAAGACUAAAUAUUUGAGCCAACAUAAGAAAUGGAAUUUGGUUGUGUUGCUGAAGCCCAAAAUCUUUGUAAUAUCUAUUUUUGGGGAGCUUGGUUUUGGUACUGAAAAGGGAGAUUAACAUGGGAAUACAAUGCAAGAAUUUCAAUGCCAACAGCAGGCCAUGAUUCAGCCAGGCAUUUCUAUAAUCUAGCAUAGCAGUUCGGCACAUAGUAAGUAAAAUGUGAAUGGCAAUGGACCAACAAAUAGAAGACGCAUCUUGACAUAAUUAAAGAGAAGAUGAAGAAUAAAGCAGGGAAGAGGGGAGGCAAAGAAGAAAGAUAGGCAUCACUUGCGGCCUUGAUGAUCAUAAAACAUCAGAAAGCCUCACUGAGGGUGGUGUUGUAACCGGCACUGAGUAGGUUCAGUAUCUUGUAAUAUCAAACUCCGAAUGAUAGCUUCGUUAACAUGUAAUAUGCAUUGGUUGUGCUAGUAGGAAAGUGUUGAUAUGAGCAACGCUGAAGUGAACCCUGACAUUGUAACCUUGCCAUGUAUGUAGUGUGAGAAAUGUUCUGCA